rnacentral:rRNA from 1 species
GACGAACGCUGGCGGCGUGCUUAACACAUGCAAGUCGAACGAUGAAGCUAGAGCUUGCUCUGGUGAAUUAGUGGCGAACGGGUGAGUAACACGUGAGUAACCUGCCCCUUGACUCUGGGAUAACUGCGGGAAACUGUAGCUAAUACCGGAUACGACCCUCGGCGGCAUCGCCAGGGGGUGGAAAGAAUUUCGGUCAAGGAUGGACUCGCGGCCUAUCAGCUAGUUGGUGAGGUAACGGCUAACCAAGGCGACGACGGGUAGCCGGCCUGAGAGGGUGACCGGCCACACUGGGACCGAGACACGGCCCAGACUCCUACGGGAGGCAGCAGUGGGGAAUAUUGCACAAUGGGCGCAAGCCUGAUGCAGCAACGCCGCGUGAGGGAUGACGGCCUUCGGGUUGUAAACCUCUUUUAGUAGGGAAGAAGCGAAAGUGACGGUACCUGCAGAAAAAGCACCGGCUAACUACGUGCCAGCCGCCGCCGUAA